CCCACUGAUAAGACAGGCACAUUACAUUCUGGUUUUACACCUGACUUAUUGUCCAAGAAACAAACUUUUCACACCUGAACUGUCAAAAACAAGAAUGAAGUGGUUGAUUGUCCUAACACUUGUUGUUGUAGUUCGCUGCCAGGAAUAUGAAAGCCGGGUAGACGCCUUAGAACAGAUGCUCCAGAGGGUGCAGACUAAGACAACACACCAGAGCAACGUCAUCGAGGUUCUGAGACAAAAGAUAGUGGCGGUCGAACGAUCAGAGGACAACCUAAAGAACGCUUUAUCGGUUGAGAAGCGAGCGGCAGGCGACCCUGUCGUUGCUUUCACGGCCACCCGACUUGGGAACCUCACCAAUAUACCAAUCUACCACACUAUAGUGUUUGAGCAGGUCGGUGUGAAUGAGCACAAUGCCUAUAACAGCAAUACUGGGGUGUUUACGUGCCCUUACGACGGGUUGUACGAGUUUGCUUCCACUAUUGUUUCAGCAGGAGAACAAAGCAACCUCAAUUUCCAGGUAGACAAACAUGGCGGUCGCUUUGAAGCAUGCUUUCGCCUGGACAAUAUUCAUCCUCAGCUAUGGCCAACUGAUUGCAGAGGAUGACACAGACACUCGUAUUGUUGAUCUCGAGACCCUGGCAGCAAAAGUAGAUUUUUCUGCAUACAAAAAUGCAGAUCAAUUGGAUAAUCUUAAACUUCGAAUUCAGGAACUUCAAGAUGGUACAAAAAUGGACGGGAUAAAAGUAAGACAAGUGGCUGAUCCAAACAUCGGUUUUGAUGCUCGAGUGGUCGCUUUGAAACCCCAUUAUGUCGAUCAGCAGACAAUUGUAUUUAACCGUGUACAGGUCAACCAGGGUGGUGGCUACAGCAACACGACCGGCCGGUUCACAUGUCCCCAGCACGGCCUCUAUCAGUUUGCAGCAACCAUUCCGUCCCAGUUGAAUGGAACCAUUGAGUGUGAAAUGGUCAUGGACAACGUUCAAAUCGGACGUUUUAUGGCUAACGAACCGGGCUUUGAUCAGGCGACGCAGGUAGUAGUUCUCGAAUGUGGGGUCGAACAACAGGUAUGGAUCCGACAUCUUCGUGGAGUGCACGAUACAGGAAUCCUGGCCGGAAGGCACCACUUCCCGAGUUUUAGUGGUCACCUCAUAUCUUCAUUAUAAAUAAAGCCUAUGUCCAGCC